UUCUUGUUCUCCUUUUCGUUUUCAUUUUCAGUCAACACAACACACAUACACACACUCCUCUCCCUCACCCUCCCACCGGUACAUUCCUCAUCAUCACCUCUACCAUUUUUCCAACAAAAUCACUGGAAAAUCCUCAAGAACAUCACACCUUCACAUAAGUUAUUUGAGGUUCUAGCCAAUCUCCCUUGGAGCUUGGAGAAUUAAGUUUUUUGCAAGUUGCAAGUUUUUCAGAUCUCUUAACUAUAUCUUGGGUAUGGAGCUUACUUCCUUGGUAAUGAUUAGAGUGCUACCUUAAAUUUUGAGACUCUUGCUGUAAGUGGUUGGUGACUCGAUCCUGUUAUGUUCAACGAGACCUUAAUUAAUUCUAUUGGAGGUUGGUCACUUGAGGUUUGUUAACCUUAGGCAUGGUAGGCAUAGACUUGAUAUUAAGAUUCCUUAUUCUUGAUAUGAUUGUGACUUUGUAUAAUCCAAGAGCCUUGUAAUAUAUAUUCAUGUAUUAGGUGGAGGCACAUGAUUUUUAGUUAUUGUUUGUAAAUGUGUUAUAGA